rnacentral:rRNA from 1 species
CCUACGUGAGGCAGCAGUGGGGAAUAUUGCACAAUGGGGGAAACCCUGAUGCAGCGACGCCGCGUGAGUGAAGAAGUAAUUCGUUAUGUAAAGCUCUAUCAGCAGGGAAGAAAAUGACGGUACCUGAGUAAGAAGCCCCGGCUAACUACGUGCCAGCAGCCGCGGUAAUACGUAGGGGGCAAGCGUUAUCCGGAUUUACGGGGUGUAAAGGGAGCGUAGACGGCAGUGCAAGUCUGGAGUGAAAGGCGGGGGCUCAACCCCCGGACUGCUCUGGAAACUGUACGGCUGGAGUGCAGGAGAGGGAAGUGGAAUUCCUAGUGUAGCGGUGAAAUGCGUAGAUAUUAGGAGGAACACCAGUGGCGAAGGCGGCUUACUGGACUGUAACUGACGUUGAGGCUCGAAAGCGUGGGGAGCAAACAGGAUUAGAUACCCCAGUAGUC